rnacentral:tmRNA from 1 species
GGGGGUGACUGGCUUCGACGGCGGAUGUCGGGGCAGGUGAAGCGGGCCGAGUAGGUGACGUGAUCUCGUUAAUCCUCGUCGCAAACCAAUAACUGCCAACAAGCAGAGCACCGAGCACUUCGCCCUCGCCGCCUGAGCGAGGCAAGUCUCCGUCAGCCCCGAGCACGCCUUCGGCCCGGGUGCUGACGUCAUCCAGAAGGCCACUGGCUGAAAGCCCGGUCACGGAGCUGACGCGACACAAACAGUGACUGAGCCCGGCUCGGCGACUCGUCUGCGUGAUCGCCGGGGCUGAGAAAGGCCACAGCAGACUGCGCCCGGAGAAGAACUGGCUCGUCACCGGCGGACGCGGGUUCGAUUCCCGCCACCUCCACCA